rnacentral:rRNA from 1 species
GGUCAAGCUAUAAAGAGCGCAAGGGGAAUGCCUUGGCAUCAGGAGCCGACGAAGGACGUGACAAGCUGCGAUAAGCUUCGGGGAGGAGCAAAUAUCCUAUGAUCCGGAGAUUUCCGAAUGGGGAAACCCACUGGAGCAAUACUCCAGUAACGUGCAUUGAAUCAAAUAGGUGUACGUGGGGAACCGCCUGAACUGAAACAUCUAAGUAGGGCGAGGAAAAGACAUCAACCGAGAUUCCGCUAGUAGUGGCGAGCGAACGCGGAGGAGGCCAAACCGGAGGAUUUAUUCUCCGGGGUUCGGACUUGCAUCAAGAUCAGAGGAGCCUAGAAGAACGGCAUGGGAAGGCCGGCCACAGAGGGUGAGAGCCCCGUAUUUGAAAGGUGAGACUGACAGCGAGUAUCCAGAGUACCGCGGGACACGUGAAACCCCGUGGGAAAACGGGUGGACCACCAUCCAAGCCUAAAUACUACCUGAUGACCGAUAGAGGAGCAGUACCGUGAGGGAAAGGUGAAAAGGACCCCG